GGAAGGUUACAGUAGGAUCUUAUGUUAUGCCUUAUAUUUUUAUUUAGUUAUUUAAUAAUAUAGAAAACUUGUGGGUGGGGUGGGGGGAGAUCUUUCCAUUUGAAUAAUCUGACCUGCGCAAAUAUUCCAACUCUCCAGGACCUGGUUUACUUUCAGGUUUUCGGCAAGAAGAUCAGAGAUGGAGAACCACCUGAGGAAAUUCCCAUCUGAGUUGAGACUUUGGUCGUGACCCUGGUGAUGAAGAGAAAGAAGACGAACCACCAAAGCCCAUCUUUGGGAAGGAAGUAGGGAUGAGGGAGAGAAAAUAAGAACAAAGAAGGAACAGACUGCCAUUUGACCCAGAUGUGGACGGAUAGAAAUUCUGCCAGGAUUUAUAUCUUCUGUAUUUGACAAAUCAUGAGGUUAAAAAGGUGUCACUGAAUAGAUUAAUGAACAACCCUCUCUCUCUCAUCCAUUAGUCCAUCUCCCAAAAAAAAAAAAAAAAAAAAAAAUUCUCUUUGUCAGUGCUGCUCGUAUCCACAUGUUCUAAGUUACCAAAAAAUACAAAGCUUAUGUAUUUGAAGUCUGUAGGCAGAUGAUUUAUUUGUAAUUUCGUGUUUUUUCCCCCCACAAAAUAGCUACACGGGUUUUGUGAAAAUCUAUCUGUCUUACUCUUCUACAUGUGUCUCAUUCCCCUAAUAAUAAAUAAAUAUAACAUAGAGCACUGGGUUGUUUACAU
ensembl:lncRNA